AUCGAUGGUAUUACUCAAGAAUUUGCCAGUGGUGAGAACUUGGUAUUCUUUUUCCUUUUCUAGUUUAGAAGAUUUUGGGUUUAACCAUUACUGUAAUCCUGACUUUGGCUUUCAUUGAAACACCUUCCUCACUUACUGUCACAUCAGAUAUACGAUAUCGCCUUCCUGCAUGGGAUCCCCCAUGUGGCCUAACAGAAAGCAUUGAGCUGCUUUGCUUUCUUGUGUUCAUGAUUGAUGUAUCGGUGAAGAGUUAUUUAAUUGGGUGGGAAGAAUUUCGGAAAACUAAAUGGCUGAUGGCUUAUAUCCUGACGUUAAUUGUUUCCCUUGCUGAUUGGAUUGUAUCGCUGAGCUUUUUCUGCACAGAGAAUGUGAGAAUAAGAAGAAUUCUUCGGCCUUUCUUUCUCCUUCAGAAUUCUUCCAUGAUGAAGAAAACAUUAAAGAGUAUCAACAGCACUUUGCCUGAAAUGGCAAGUGUUGUUCUGCUACUAGCUGUUCAUCUGUCUCUCUUUACCAUGUUUGCCAUGCUGCUGUUUGCUCGAACAAAGGAUGGCCAGCAGGAUAAGGAAUGGGUGGGGUAUUUUCGGAAUUUGCCAGAUUCACUGACUUCACUGCUGGUGCUGCUAACUACUGCAAAUAAUCCUGAUGUGAUGAUUCCUGCAUAUUCUAAGAAUCGAGCCUAUUCAGUCUUCUUUAUACUCUUCACUGUAUUAGGCAACUUAUUCCUGAUGAACUUACUGACAGCAAUAAUAUAUAACCAGUUUCGAGGAUACCUUCUGAAAUCGGUUCAGUCCUCCCUCUUCAGGAGACGACUAGGAAUCCGGGCUGCCUUUGAAGUGCUUUCUCCCCUAAAAGAGACUCCUGCUAAUGCACAAGAGUUGUAUGUCAGUGUUGGGGACUUAUUUCAUGUGCUCCAGAAGGUGGAAAUGGAUUCUCGCUGCAAGCAAGCCAUCAUGAGAUCACUCAAAACAUGCUCCUGUGACCAGCUGUCAGCUGCCCAGUUUCAGAAGCUCUUUGAAGAACUAGACAAAGAUGCUAUUAAACAACAUCCUGCUAGUCCGGAGUACCAGUCACGUUUUAUGCGGAAAAUGCAGUUUGCCUUUGGCCAUCCUUAUUUUGGCUACUUGGGGAAUGUUGUAGCCCUUGCAAACAUUGUUUCUAUCUGUGUGGUUUUGGUGAUGGAUGCAGAUAAACAGCCUUCUGAAAGAGAUGACUUCUUCCUGGGGGCUAUCAACUGCUUCUUCAUCCUCUACUAUCUACUGGAAAUGUUGCUGAAAAUCUUGGCAAUGGGGUUAAAAAGAUACUUAUCUUACCCAAGCAAUCGAUUUGAUGGACUUCUGACUGGAAUUCUGCUGGUUUUGGAGAUAGCAACUUUUGCUGCAUACGGAUUUCCUCAUCCUGGCUGGAGACCUGAGUUGAUGGGUUUGCUUUCCCUGUGGGAUAUGGUUCGACUGGUGAACAUGUUAAUUGUGUUCAGGUUCCUGCGGAUUAUUCCUAAUAUGAAGUUCAUGGCUUUGGUUGUGACUACACUGUUGGAUCUGGUAAAAAACUUGAGAGCCUUUGCAGGAAUCCUGGUGGUGGUUUUCUAUGCAUUUGCUAUAACUGGCAUAAUACUAUUUAAAGGUGCUGUUGUUCCUAUGGGGAAUAUCAGUAUUGUCAAUACAACAUCUGUUAAUGGCACUCUGCAGUGUGGGACCUACGAGCAGCUGGAAUAUUGGCCAAACAACUUUGAUGACUUUGCUGCGGCAGUGGUGACCCUCUGGGAUGUGAUGGUCGUGAACAACUGGCAAGUCUUUCUGGAAGCGUUUUCAAGAUAUUCGAGUCCGUGGGCAAAGAUCUAUUUUGUAGCCUGGUGGUUGAUCUCCUCAGUCAUCUGGGUCAAUCUCUUCGUAGCUUUACUUCUAGAGAACUUUAUUCACAAGUGGGACCGUCGCUGUCAUCGGGAACCUCUCUCAGACAUUGAAUACCAGAGGACGGUUGAACUAAUGUUCAGAGAUGUUUUGGAAGAACCUACAGAGGAAGAGCUCAUGGAAAGACUACAUCAGCAUCCACACCUGCAUUUAUGUAGGUGACUGAUUGGUGGGAAGGACUGAUUUAUUUAGACCUCUAUUUUGUUGAGGUGGUCAGCUGGAAGAAACUGAAUGGAUUUUCUGUGACAUGCUGUAGUAAGGGUUUGCAGGACAAUGUGUAAAGUUUUGGUUGGCAAUUCUCUGCAGGAGGAGUUUUUUAUUAUUGGCUUAUAUAUUUUUUUUUUCUGGAGGAAAAAAAGGGUAUUUGAAUCCUACUUAUUUGACUUGAUUUUAAGUUGCAAUUUUACAGCAAUAUUGCAGCUGCUAUUUUUAUAAACUAUUGGUACCAGAAUAUUUUUAUUUUUGUUUUUUAAGAAGGGAAAGUGUUAAAAUGACAGUGCACUUUAAAACAUGAACUUUGUAACCACUAAGCCUGCUACUUUUUGCAGCACAAGAAAAUGGAACUGCCUCUUGUGAUAGGGGAGUGUGCCAAGGACUGUGCCUUGCAAUUCAUGAAUGGAUUAGGCAGGACUAGAACAAGAUCCUUAACCCUUUUUGUUGUAAUGACAGUUGAAACACUAUUUUUAUUAAAAAAAAUGGCGCCAGCAUAUUUUACUUACUAAAUUUUCAGAAGUUAAUCACUUGGGAGCACAAUUAGCUUCAACUCAUUGUUGAACUUAACAAGGAGUGUCUGUCUGGCACCCUCUCUCUCUCUCUCUCUCUCUCUCUCUCUCUCUCUCUGAUCUAGGGUUCUUGCUGGUUGCAUCACGCUGAUAACUUUGAGAACAGCUCUAAGUUUGAAUGAAAUGAUUAUACUCAUGGUUUUCAAUGUGGUAAAAUUGAACUCUGCUUCAGACUAAAUAUUCUCAUAUUGUCUUUUAGUGAACUCUUCCUUUUGCUUUCUUCCACAUCCUGUUAUUCACUGUACUGUAUUCCAUGAAGAAGCUGAAGGCAGUGAAUUUUGGCCAGAACGUAGCGUCAUGAUCACUGAGAGCCACCUUCUUAAAGGUGGUGGGGGGAAAGGUUGAACGGGUAAUCAAGUGCUUAGCAGCUCAGAUUUUCAUUUGAGUCCAUGGGGACUUGAAAGUGCUUAACCGGUGUUUCAAGAUCAUGUUCUUUUAUGGCUUUAUGGUCACAUGCUGUAUGUAUACUACUAAAUUUGGUGACCUGGCUAUUAUUAGCCAGGUAGAUAACUGACAGCAAAUCUAGAGUCGAGAAUUAACAGUAAGUUAUAACUGCAUGCUUUCCAUUUAUCUCUGAGUAUUCCACCAGAAAAGGUGUUUCUGUUUGGGUCUUUGUCACAUAAUGAGAAACUCACUAUGAAGAGUAGAAUUAAUCCCAACUAUUAUUUUUAUGCAAAAAAUGAAAUUACCUUUUGUGGUUGUGAUUAUCAUUACUUGAGGCACUUGCAACUAAAAUAGACUUUAUUUGGGCCACAUCUACAUUGACAAUGGCUUGGGGUGUGUGUGAAUGGACUUGAAUUGCUUCUAUUUAUAAGUUAUUCGAUCUGUUUAGAUAAAAAUCUUUUUGGAAAGCAUACCAGGCAGUCACCCCGUUUACUUUUCCAGUUGCUCAUCCAUCUUUUCUUUCUUUCCUGCUUUAAAGAGAGGAAAUUCUCCAUUUGAGCUCAGCAGCAUAUUUCUGCAUUGUUGCCUUACUGUUGUUUAGAAGUUAUGUGGUGAUUCUUGUCUGUUCCUUUACUUACUGCUUAUUCUUCUUGUGCUAUAGAACAAAAUACAAGUGAAGGAAUUUGCAUAUGCGUAGAACAUGAAAUGAAUUGAGCUAUGAGCCUUUCCAACAAUGUCUCUUUAUUUCUGUGCUCUUGCUUCUUAAGCCAUGUUGUGUUAUGUGUGUACUCUAUUGUAUCUGUUCCACAAUAAUCCACCUAGUAACUCACUUGCACUGCUUUCAGUGGUGUUACGAUUUUUGGGGAUCAUGGACUUAGAACACCCAUCUUAGCAAGUAGAUAAAGGCAUCAGCAUAGUGUUUUCCUAGAUUUUGGUUUGUUUCUUUCAGUAUAGUUUUGUCGGGAUGGUUUCUGCUCCUAGCAUGACUUAAUUGAUACUACUAGUUUAUUGGCGUUUAGUAAUGGAGGUUAAAUACUGUAUUUUACCUUCUUGCUCAGAAUUUCUUAUUUGCUUUGUUUUUCUGCCUUUGUGAAUUCUUGGAAAAGUAGCUGUAUUUGCCUUGCUAAACAGAAGUGGCCCGUUCCUAUCUGCCUGCAGGUUUCACCUUUUUUAGUUCUUAACCUUUUCUUUGGCCAUUACAUUCCACUACAAUCUGCCAAAGCAACAUGAAUUGGUGUGGCAUUAUCAUAAACCUCAUAAAUGUCUCCAGUAUGUGGUCUUUGCAUCUGGGCAAAUAUGAAGGGAAUGCUUUUAGUCUUGUUCUUGUAUGUUUCACAUUUGUAUAAUAGACUGAAAAUGUAACUAGAAGUUGAUGCAAAAAAUGCAGUAUCUAGUGUUAAUUAUACUGUAAGAUAUAAAUGACCACAUGAUACAAGUCUUAUGCAAUAAUUGUAUAAAUCAUGAAAAUGAAUGUAUGUAACUGCAUAAAGUUUGAGAUUUAUGUAAUUUCUUUUUAAAAAAAAUUCCUUCCUAAAAUACUGAAAUCAUUGAGUUGAAAAGAUUCUUGUGGUGUAUUUUUGUUUCCUUCGCCCAGGUACUGAUUUCUCUUGUGCUCAGUAUCCAUGCUCCUGUUAUCUUUACUAGCUGGAGGCUCACAAAAGAGGUUACAUGCAGAAUCAUUCUCUGUAUUUGGGGAGCUACUAUUUUCACAGCCAUAAAAUGAGAGAAAAUGUUCAUGGAAAAGCCUCAAGACUGAGAUGACAUUCCUUAAAUAGUACGUGCAUAGCAAUGUGUACAGCAAACUGCUGAAGUGGCCACCUAUAAUUAUCUCCCAUAAAGGAUAUGAGAAGAAUUUCAAGACUGUGUAUAAAAUGCAAUCACAAGGCUUAGUAAGUAUACGUGGGGUUCUAAAAGUGUCUUAGUGGACUAA